rnacentral:tRNA from 1 species
GCGGGUGUAGCUCAAUGGUAGACGCACUAGACUUAGGAUCUAGCGCCAUUGGCGUGGGGGUUCGACUCCCUUCAUCCGCACCA